rnacentral:rRNA from 1 species
UGAAANAUGNUUUCGGCUAUCACUUUAGGAUGGANCCGCGGUGCAUUAGUUAGUUGGUGAGGUAAAGGCUCACCAAGACNGUGAUGCAUAGCCGACCUGAGAGGGUAAUCGGCCACACUGGGACUGAGACACGGCCCAGACUCCUACGGGAGGCAGCAGUAGGGAAUCUUCCACAAUGGACGAAAGNCUGAUGGAGCAACGCCGCGUGAUGUGAAGAAGGNUUUCGGAUCGUAAAAGCUCUGUUGUUGGAGAAGAAUGUAUCUGAUAGUAANUGAUCCANGUCUGACCGUCCACCAAANC